rnacentral:rRNA from 1 species
ACGCUGGCGGCGUGCUAAUACAUGCAAGUCGAGCGAAUGGAUUAAGAGCUUGCUCUUAUGAAGUUAGCGGCCCGACGGGUGAGUAACACGUGGGUAACCUGCCCAUAAGACUGGGAUAACUCCGGGAAACCGGGGCUAAUACCGGAUAACAUUUUGAACCGCAUGGUUCGAAAUUGAAAGGCGGCUUCGGCUGUCACUUAUGGAUGGACCCGCGUCGCAUUAGCUAGUUGGUGAGGUAACGGCUCACCAAGGCAACGAUGCGUAGCCGACCUGAGAGGGUGAUCGGCCACACUGGGACUGAGACACGGCCCAGACUCCUACGGGAGGCAGCAGUAGGGAAUCUUCCGCAAUGGACGAAAGUCUGACGGAGCAACGCCGCGUGAGUGAUGAAGGCUUUCGGGUCGUAAAACUCUGUUGUUAGGGAAGAACAAGUGCUAGUUGAAUAAGCUGGCACCUUGACGGUACCUAACCAGAAAGCCACGGCUAACUACGUGCCAGCAGCCGCGGUAAUACGUAGGUGGCAAGCGUUAUCCGGAAUUAUUGGGCGUAAAGCGCGCGCAGGUGGUUUCUUAAGUCUGAUGUGAAAGCCCACGGCUCAACCGUGGAGGGUCAUUGGAAACUGGGAGACUUGAGUGCAGAAGAGGAAAGUGGAAUUCCAUGUGUAGCGGUGAAAUGCGUAGAGAUAUGGAGGAACACCAGUGGCGAAGGCGACUUUCUGGUCUGUAACUGACACUGAGGCGCG